rnacentral:piRNA from 1 species
UUCCAUAUGUGUGCUUCUGUCAGGUUGGC